rnacentral:lncRNA from 1 species
GACAUUUUAAUUUUUAAAUUUUAAUUUUUUGUAAUUUCUGACUCGAAUUAUAAGGCGUAUGAUAGUUUGGUUUGAAUUGUCGCAAUCAAGUCUCACAACAAUUUUUUUAAAAAAUAAGUAUUGAAAAUUUUCUAAUAUUGAAGUGAUGUAACAUCGUAACUACUCUUAUAUUAUCAAGUAAGAUACAAUUACAAUUCAGGAAAUUUAAGAACCAAAAUUAUCACGUCUUAUAGUUUGAACUAAAAAUAUAUAAUUAAUUAAGGUUUGAGAGCUAAAGUGUCGCGCGCUUCAUAGUUUGAUGACCAAAAAUGUCACUAGCCUUUUAAAGAAUUGGAUCAGAUGAUCUGUCGAACCAAAUUAAAUGUAACUCAAGCAUAAAAAUUAAAUAUUACUUAAGCAUUCAAAUCCAGCAACCGUUGUUUUUGAAUUUAAAGUAGUUAUAUAGAUUCCCGCUACUAUACUUUUGAGAAUAGAUCUCUUUAUACUCAUAAGUUUUUGACCGUUAAAUCUAGCUCUUUGAUCAUUUCUACUCGUUAGAUCAUACUAUUCAACUAAUCGUCCACUCAACUCUAGGAAAUUUUUACCAUUCUAACAGGAAAUUACUAUCAUCCUAAUCGUGCAUCUCUUCAUUCAACGGUUGAAAAUUUGUGAGUACAAAAGAGUCUACACUCAGUAUAGUAACCAGUUAUAUAAGCGGUCAAAUUUUUGCACUUU